CUCUUCUCUUCUCUCUUGCUCUCUUCUCUCUCUCUCAAGGAUGAACUCCAACCGGAGUUCUUCAUGUUCUUCAUUUUCCGGCGACUGGCCGCCGUGAUUCUCAGAUUCCGGCAAACCACCGCCACCCUCCGCCGGAACCACCGCCACCCUCCGCCGAACCACCGCGCCGGAAUCAUAACCACCCAAAAAAAUCCCAAAAUUUACCUAGAAACCUUAUUUUUCGUGAUUUAAACACGAAUCAACGUUAAAGGUGCAAAAAACAACAAUGAACAGUGUUAAUAAAAGGUUAAGGAUGUUGGUGGAGGCAGAGGCAAGGUGCACUGUUAAAUUAGUUUUUUUUUGUGUAAUUUUUCUUCUCUGUGUGUAAAACAAAAUCUCUCUUUUGCUCUGAUUGGGUCUCAAUUUAUAGAUCAAGUGAAUGAAUUUGUUUAAUGUAAAAAACCUCCAGAUUUACAAUUUUUAUUGUUUUUAAUCUGAUCAAUUUGUGUUGAGAAGAACAAAAAAAAAUAGUGAUGGUGAUGAAUGAAUGAAUCUGUGGUUGUUUUUCUCUGUUCUAUUCUCUAUGUUUGCUUUCCAUAUAUUGUAACUCAAAAUAUAGUAUAAUUUUCAAUUUCUGCAUCCAAUAUUACAUA